AACGAACGCUGGCGGCAUGCCUAACACAUGCAAGUCGAACGAAGGCUUCGGCCUUAGUGGCGCACGGGUGCGUAACGCGUGGGAAUCUGCCCUUUGGUUCGGAAUAACAGCUGGAAACGGCUGCUAAUACCGGAUGAUGACGAAAGUCCAAAGAUUUAUCGCCAGAGGAUGAGCCCGCGUUGGAUUAGGUAGUUGGUGGGGUAAAGGCCUACCAAGCCGACGAUCCAUAGCUGGUCAGAGAGGAUGAUCAGCCACACUGGGACUGAGACACGGCCCAGACUCCUGCGGGAGGCAGCGGUGAGGAAUAUUGAAAAAUGGGCGCAAGCCUGAUCCAGCAAUGCCGCGUGAGUGAUGAAGGCCCUAGGGUUGUAAAGCUCUUUUAACCGGGAAGAUAAUGACUGUACCGGGAGAAUAAGCCCCGGCUAACUACGUG
rnacentral:rRNA from 1 species